GAUGAACGCUGGCGGCGUGCCUAAUACAUGCAAGUCGAGCGAACAGACGAGGAGCUUGCUCCUCUGACGUUAGCGGCGGACGGGUGAGUAACACGUGGAUAACCUACCUAUAAGACUGGGAUAACUUCGGGAAACCGGAGCUAAUACCGGAUAAUAUUUUAAACCACAGGUUAAAAUAGAAAAAGAGGUUUUUUCUGUCACUUAUAUAGGUACCCGCGCCGCAUUAGAUAGUUGGUAAGGUAACGGCUUACCAAGGCAACGAUGCGUAGCCGACCUGAGAGGGUGAUCGGCCACACUGGAACUGAGACACGGUCCAGACUCCUACGGGAGGCAGCAGUAGGGAAUCUUCCGCAAUGGGCGAAAGCCUGACGGAGCAACGCCGCGUGAGUGAUGAAGGUCUUCGGAUCGUAAAACUCUGUUAUUAGGGAAGAACAAAUGUGUAAGUAACUAUGCACGUCUUGACGGUACCUAAUCAGAAAGCCACGGCUAACUACGUG
rnacentral:rRNA from 1 species